rnacentral:rRNA from 1 species
AAUUCGAUUAGAGUUUGAUCUGGCUCAGAACGAACGCUGGCGGCGUGGCUUAGGCAUGCAAGUCGAACGAGAAAGGGGUAGCAAUACCCCCGGUAAAGUGGCGUAAGGGUGAGUAACAUAUAGUCAACCUACCCUCAAGACUGGGGCAACAACCCGAAAGGGUUGCUAAUACCAGAUGGUGUCAAGCUGGCUUCGGCUGGCCUGACUAAACGGCGGGGACCCUUCGGGGCCUACCGCUUGAGGAGGGGUCUAUAUCCCAUCAGCUAGUUGGUAGGGUAACGGCCUACCAAGGCAAAGACGGGUAGCCGGCCUGAGAGGGUGUUCGGCCACACUGGCACUGAGACACUGGCCAGACUCCUACGGGAGGCUGCAGUCGAGAAUCUUCCGCAAUGGGCGCAAGCCUGACGGAGCGACGCCGCGUGGACGAUGAAGGCCUUCGGGUUGUAAAGUCCUGUCGCCUGGUAAGAAACGUGCAGCGCUAACAACGUUUGUGCUUGACGUUACCGGGAGAGGAAGCCACGGCUAACUCUGUGCCAGCAGCCGCGGUAAGACAGAGGUGGCAAGCGUUGUUCGGAAUCACUGGGCUUAAAGGGCACGUAGGCGGCCCGGCAAGUCGGAUGUGAAAUCCCCUGGCUUAACCAGGGAACUGCAUCCGAAACUACCGGGCUCGAGCGCAGGAGGGGAGAGCGGAACUCCUAGUGGAGCGGUGAAAUGCGUAGAUAUUAGGAGGAACGCCGGUGGCGAAAGCGGCUCUCUGGACUGCAGCUGACGCUGAGGUGCGAAAGCUAGGGGAGCAAACAGGAUUAGAUACCCUGGUAGUCCUAGCCCUAAACGAUGGGCACUAAGUAGGGGGGAUUCCGAUGUCCUCUCUGCCGAAGCGAAAGUAUUAAGUGCCCCGCCUGGGGAGUACGGUCGCAAGGCUAAAACUCAAAGGAAUUGACGGGGGCUUACACAAGCGGUGGAGCAUGUGGUUUAAUUCGAAGCAACGCGAAGAACCUUACCGGGGUUUGACAUGCAGGGAUUAGUUCCAUGAAAGUGGGAUGACGCGGGCAACCGUGGAACCUGCACAGGUGUUGCAUGGCUGUCGUCAGCUCGUGUCGUGAGAUGUUGGGUUAAGUCCCAUAACGAGCGAAACCCUUGUCCUUAGUUGCCAGCGGGUCAUGCCGGGGACUCUAGGGAGACUGCCGGUGUUAAGCCGGAGGAAGGUGGGGACGACGUCAAGUCAUCAUGGCCCUUACAUCCCGGGCUACACACGUGCUACAAUGACCGGUCUAAAGGGGCGCAAAGUCGCAAGGCGACGCAAAUCCCAAAAAACCGGCCUCAGUUCGGAUUGGAGGCUGAAAUUCGCCUCCAUGAAGUCGGAAUCGCUAGUAAUCGCGGAUCAGCUACGCCGCGGUGAAUAUGUUCCUAAGCCUUGUACACACCGCCCGUCAAGCCACGAAAGCUGGGAGUACUCGAAGUCGUUUGCCUAACCCGCAAGGGGAGGCGAUGCCUACGGUAAG